rnacentral:rRNA from 1 species
UACGAAGGGGGCUAGCGUUGCUCGGAAUCACUGGGCGUAAAGCGCACGUAGGCGGCUUUCUAAGUCAGGGGGUGAAAUCCUGGAGCUCAACUCCAGAACUGCCUUUGAUACUGGAGAGCUUGAGUCCGGAAGAGGUGAGUGGAACUCCGAGUGUAGAGGUGAAAUUCGUAGAUAUUCGGAAGAACACCAGUGGCGAAGGCGGCUCACUGGUCCGGUACUGACGCUGAGGUGCGAAAGCGUGGGGAGCAAACAGG